GACGAACCGUGCGAACGUUGUUCGGAUUCACUGGGCUUUAAGGGCGCGUAGGCGGGUUACCAAGUCAGGGGUGAAAUCUUUCGGCUCAACCGGAAAACGGCCCCUGAUACUGGUAGUCUUGAGGGAGGUAGGGGCAGGUGGAACUUCCGGUGGAGCGGUGAAAUGUGUUGAUAUCGGAAGGAACGCCGGUGGCGAAAGCGACCUGCUGGAUCUCUUCUGACGCUGAGGCGCGAAAGCUAGGGGAGCGAACGGG
rnacentral:rRNA from 1 species